UCGACCUGAAUUAAAGAGUACGGUCUGACUCUCUACCUGAUCUUUAUGCAGUGUCAAGACACCAUCUUUGUCAUAGUUUGGCCCUCUCUGCUGCCCCCUGGAGGCCAAAGUUCAGUUUACUCCCAGAAUGACUGCACUGAUUGGAUGAAGUGGCUCCAGGUGUGUUCAGGUGUGCUCCGACUGACCCUGUUAGUGAGUCCUCAGUCUUCAACUCCUUCAUGCAUCACAGAAAUUGCUGAAAACAGAUCCUGUCUACGGUGAUUCUCAUUUGAUUUGAAGGAGCUUCAUCUUGUUCCCUGAAAAAAAACAAAGGACAAGAACAUUGAAGCAUGAAGCUGAUGAAAGUGAGCCUCUGAAGUGAACACUUGAUGACCGAGCAUCACUUACCCAACCCUUUCAGAAACUUGUUCACACCACUCGGCUCCGGCUCAGGCCCCCUUGCGCAGCUCUUUGUCCUGAAUGAAACCGGCAAACAUUUGAGUCUCCAUGAAGAGCUGCAGGAACUGGCGGACUCCGCGGGAGGGGUGAGAUUUGCGGAAGCUGUCGCGCUGCAGCUCCCUGCUCCCGUUGGAGGACUCAGACAUGUGGAGAGGAUAGUGACCCACCAGCUCCACGAAGAGCCGCACGAAACCCUCUGACAUCAAAGAGCUCAGGAUCUGCAGCAGUGCCGCCUGCAGUUUACUGGGCAGGAUACAAUCUUCAUCUCCGAGCUGUCACGAAUCAAAGCAACAACAGUCACAUGAUGCAUGAAAGGUGUUCUGUGUCUACAUGACUGAUUGGUGCAACAUGAUAUGGGAUAAACUCCAGUGGAUGCUUGAUUGUAGCUGUGAGAGACGCUGUAAUGUCUGCAAAGAAAUCUUUUGGUGCAAAUGUACCAAAAGAAAGUGUCUACUAAGAGGUGUGAUAACCUUUAAAAUACCUUUUUAGAAGCAGCAGUCACAUGGCAUUCUUUAAAGUCACCAGACUGCACUGACAGAAAACAUGCAAACAAGUAUUUUGUGUGUUACUGGGUGACUGUUUAAGGUUAGCCUGGACCCAGCACACCAGAGACAGUCAGACUAACCAGUCCAGGCAGCAGCAGACCAGUAACUGUGUUAAAUUACUGUUUUUGGCCACAGAGUCUGGAGGCUUUAAAGAGAGAGAUGCAGCCCACAGCUGUUUCCAGUUAGAGAGGAUCUUAUCUUAACAGAGGUCUGUGUCUGUGUGGAUGAUUUCUGUUAAACUCUGACACUUUGACUGACAGUCUGAGUCUGUCAGUGGUAAAACUAACUUUUAGUGACUUUGUUCGAGUGCAUUUGCUCCAAAUCCUUACAGCAUGUCUCUCAGCUGCAGCUAAAUUGAUCCACUUGAGUAUUCUCAUGUUCUUAAGAACAAAUGAGUCAUUUUAAAUUCAAAACAUGUAAAAAUGGGGCCAGGGUUUAAAAAUACUGGAACUGCCACUUCUUCAGGACAGACGCAACACAGACUAGCAAUACUAGAUUUAAUGCCAGAUAGGAACCAAGUCAAGACAGACCUAUUAAAGACACACGCACACAGUUAACAUUAUUUAUCAAUGCUAAUCAUUGUUAACUGACAAACCAGCUGCUCUGAAUCAGACGUUAGCCUGCCUUCCUCUUGGUAUCAUAACAUCAUGUAGUGUGAGCUAAUCUCCUCAGAGCUCGUCCGUGUUAUACAAAUCGCUUAGUCACCCUCAAAACAUUCUGAAUGCAAACAAGGGACAUGUGUGGGCAAAGCCAUCCUUCCCACUGCGACCACACCCAUCAUUCCCCGCUACACACCGCUGUGAGUACACACCUGAAUGACAAACUUGUCAGCACACAGAUCCACUAUCAGCACCUGGGAGGAAAGAGAGGGGAAAGAAUGACGGUUACUCUGUGCACUGUUUUGCAACAAGACUUAAACAUGUGGAAGCUCCAUUACUUCUGGCAGGCACUGUGACAGCACCCCGAUGAGGAACGGCGUGGGGGAGCAGCUGAUGUCCAGCAUGCUGGCCGGUAGCACAGGGUUACCUCAUUCCCUGAGCCGGGGAGGAAGCUUUUCACCGUGACUGUGCGACCAGGGGCUGGAAAUGGGGCCUCCAUCACGCUACGCAUAAAAGGAUAAACCAGCGCUGGGGAAAUCUCUCUUCGCCUCUCCACCUCCUCCAGAAUCUGGACAGACAGAGGCAGACAAAUCACUGUUUAAGUCCUGAAGGAACGAAUGCUGAUUAAACUCUAAACAAAAUAACAGUGGCGAGAUGCGGCUCUGCAUGUUAAUGUUGUUUUCCAGGCUAUCACACUCACACUUAACUGUUUGUAAAUUUCCCUCAGCAAACUGGAAAAUAGGCAGGACACAUCUACAUGCAUACAAUGCAAUUCUUUUUUUUUUUUGUGAAACACGCCCAGGGAUUGCUCUGGAUUAUCUUCUAGUGCAGCCUCAUUCAAUCAAAACACAAACAAGAAGUCUCAAGGCGGCAGCUGUAAUACACUUCAAGAGGAUUACCACUGAACUCUAGAAACUCCUGCUCUUUUCAUGUCCCUACAAAGGCCUCCAUCAGCAGACACAGGGGAGCAGAUGUAUUGUACAGGUGCCUUACCUUGGCAAACAGGUUGAAACAGCCCAGUUUGCUGACAAUACAGUGCACCUCAGGAAGCCUCUUCCCUUUGCCACUGGGCUGAAAAGACACGUAGAGGUUCAAAUGUUAGGAAACAGGUGACAAGAGAGACACCUUUGACAUAAAAAAUACAAACCAUCAAAUAUGUACAGUAUGAGCAUGUAUGAGUACAGACGGGGCCUGAAAUUAGAGAGCCUAUUUUCCCUGUUAAGGAGUACGUCUAAGGACAAAAUUUCCUUGUGCCUAUCGGUGCACCCACUGGUGUUUUGGUCCUAAAAUGAGGUGUGGUCAGGUGUUAUGUUGCUGCAUUGUUAUUUUGAGGCAGAUUACAGCAUUAAACAACAAGAACCUGCCAAGACA